GGUGCCCGUACCGCAAACCGACACAGGUAGGUAGGAAGAAGAUUCUAAGGCCAACGGGAGAAGGGUUGUUAAGGAACUCGGCAAAUUGACCCCGUAACUUCGGGAGAAGGGGUGCUCCAGAGAUGGAGCCGCAGAGAAUCGGCCCAAGCAACUGUUUACCAAAAACACAGGUUUGUGCUAAAUCGAAAGAUGACGUAUACGAGCUGACGCCUGCCCGGUGCUGGAAGGUUAAGAGGAGAUGUGCAAGCAUUGAAUCGAAGCCCCAGUGAACGGCGGCCGUAACUAUAACGGUCCUAAGGUAGCGAAAUUCCUUGUCAGGUAAGUUCUGACCCGCAUGAAAGGCGUAAUGAUUUGGGCACUGUCUCAACAGCCCGCCCGGCGAAAUUGUAGUACCGGUGAAGAUGCCGGUUACCCGCGACAAGACGGAAAGACCCCAUGGAGCUUUACUGUAGCCUAAUAUUGGGUUUCGAUGUUGCAUGCACAGGAUAGAUGGGACACUGGGAAACAGGAGCUUUGGCUUCUGCGGAGUGGCCGUUGGGAUACCAUCCUUGCGAUAUUGGAAUUCUAACCUGCGGCUCUGAAUCGAGUCGGGGGACAUUGUUAGGUGGGCAGUUUGACUGGGGCGGUCGCCUCCUAAAGAGUAACGGAGGCGUUCAAAGGUUCGCUCAGCUUGAACGGAAAUCAAGCAAAAGAGUGCAAACGCAGAAGCGAGCCUAACUGCGAGACUGACGGGUCGAGCAGUAACGAAAGUUGGAGUUAGUGAUCCGGUGGUAUGUGAGUGGAAAUGCCAUCGCUCAACGGAUAAAAGUUACCCUGGGGAUAACAGGCUGAUCUCCCCCAAGAGUCCACAUCGACGGGGAGGUUUGGCACCUCGAUGUCGGCUCAUCGCAUCCUGGGGCUGUAUUCGGUCCCAAGGGUUUGGCUGUUCGCCAAUUAAAGCGGUACGCGAGCUGGGUUCAGAACGUCGUGAGACAGUUCGGUCCCUAUCUGUCGUGGGCGCAGGAUAUUUGAUGGGAGCUGUCCCUAGUACGAGAGGACCGGGACGGACGUACCUCUGGCGCACCAGUUGUUCCGCCAGGAGCAUAGCUGGGCAACUACGUACGGAUCGGAUAAACGCUGAAAGCAUCUAAGCGUGAAGCCGACCCAAAGAUAAGAUAUCCCA
rnacentral:rRNA from 1 species